rnacentral:rRNA from 1 species
CAGCCGCCGCGGUAAAACGAAGGGUGCAAGCGUUAAUCGGAAUUACUGGGCGUAAAGCGUGCGUAGGCGGUUUGCUAAGUCUGUUGUGAAAUCCCCGGGCUCAACCUGGGAAUGGCAAUGGAUACUGGCAAGCUAGAGUGUGUCAGAGGAUGGUGGAAUUCCCGGUGUAGCGGUGAAAUGCGUAGAGAUCGGAAGGAACAUCAGUGGCGAAGGCGGCCAUCUGGGACAACACUGACGCUGAGGCACGAAAGCGUGGGGAGCAAACAGGUUUAGAUACCCCUGUAGUCCCUGUCUCUUAUAC